GAUGAAGAACGUAGCGAAAUGCGAUAAGUAAUGUGAAUUGCAGAAUUCAGUGAAUCAUCGAAUCUUUGAACGCACCUUGCGCCCUUUGGACUUCUGAAGGGCAUGCCUGUUUGAGUAUCAUGAACACCUCAACUCCUUAUGGUCUUCCAUGAUGAGCUUGGACUUUGGGGGUUUUGCUGGCCUACAGUCAGCUCCUCUAAAAUAAUCAGCUUACCGGUGUUUGGUGGGUAUCAUGGGUGUGAUAACUAUCUACGCUCGUGGUUUUCCACCAGGUAACCUUCAGCAGUGGAGGUUCACUGGAGCUCAUAGAUGUCUCUCCUCAGCGAGGACAGCCCUUUGAAUGUUUGAUCUCAAAUCAGGUAGGACUACCCGCUGAACUUAAGCAUAUCAAUAAGCGGAGGA
rnacentral:misc_RNA from 1 species